UACGAAGGGGGCUAGCGUUGUUCGGAAUUACUGGGCGUAAAGCGUGCGCAGGCGGCUUCUCAAGUCAGGGGUGAAAGCCCAGAGCUCAACUCUGGAAUUGCCUUUGAGACUAAGUGGCUUGAGUACGAGAGAGGUGAGUGGAAUUCCCAGUGUAGAGGUGAAAUUCGUAGAUAUUGGGAAGAACACCGGUGGCGAAGGCGGCUCACUGGCUCGUAACUGACGCUCAUGCACGACAGCGUGGGGAUCAAACAGG
rnacentral:rRNA from 1 species